GCCGGGGUAGCCAAGCGGACUACGGCGCCAGACUUGAGAUCUGGUUCUCCUCUGGAGAGCAUGGGUUCAAAUCCCAUCCCCGGCG
rnacentral:tRNA from 1 species